rnacentral:misc_RNA from 1 species
AAAGUCGUAACAAGGUCUCCGUUGGUGAACCAGCGGAGGGAUCAUUAGAGGGUCGUCAGGCCUCCUACUGUUCUUCACCAAACCCGCGUACCUAUUGCCGGAUACUCUGUCUCUGCCUCGGCGGCGGCCCCAGGGGGGGCCUCUGCCCGCCCCGCCGGGCGGGUGUCGCCGGCGGCAACCUAACCAUAGAACGUUAUAACUUUUUAUAUCAAACAAAACCUAUUACAACCUGCAACAACGGAUCUCUUGGCUCCG